AACCCCCAGCUAGGCUGGGGGUUCAGUAAAGCUUUMAGCUUUGGGUCAGUUAUAAAAACCCCUUUUGAUUUGUUAAAACAG
rnacentral:sRNA from 1 species